rnacentral:lncRNA from 1 species
CAAUACCGAGCCGUCCCGCCACCGCAGCUACUAUCCUCUUGAGCGUUUGACUAUGAUUCAUCUAGUAACUAAUCUGAUCUUGCAUCAUGCUCAUGGAUGUCCUAAUUGCCUCUGGCAUCGAUGCAUCAUCAGACCGGUCGGAUGACGAACUGUAUGAUUUUUUGGACCGCAUGCUAUGACCAGAUCCUAGCUGCCGCCCGAGGACGGUAUCCAAAAUCAUAUCAUCUGUCAUCAAACAAACCUGCUGCGAUCCAGUAU